rnacentral:rRNA from 1 species
CGUCUAUAUACGUAUAGCAUAUCAAUAAGCGGAGGAAAAGAAACUAACUAGGAUUCCCUUAGUAACGGCGAGUGAAGCGGGAAGAGCUCAAAUUUGAAAUCUUCAAGGUUCUACCUUGACGAAUUGUAGUUUAAAGAAGUGUUUUCUGUUGGAGUUUUGGUAAAAGUUCUUUGGAAUAGGACAUCAUAGAGGGUGAGAAUCCCGUAUUUGACCAUUAUCUUCCAACUGUGUGAUACACUUUCAAAGAGUCGGAUUGUUUGGGAAUGCAGUCCAAAAUGGGUGGUAAAUUUCAUCUAAAGCUAAAUAUUGGCGAGAGACCGAUAGCGAACAAGUACCGUGAGGGAAUGAUGAAAAGAACUUUGAAAAGAGAGUUAAACAGUACGUGAAAUUGUCAAAAGGGAAGCGUUUGACACCAGUGUUGUUUUUCCGAAAAUCAAUUACUGAAUGGCUUGAUUUUUAGAAGUUCAUGACCUUCAAUCGCUUGCUUGCUCUCUUUAUGUACUUUCGUAAUGCACUUUUCGGUUAACAAGUCAACAUCAAUUUCUUUUGUUGUAAAAGGGUAAUGAGGAAGGUGGCUUUACUUUCGGAGUAAAGUGUUUAUAGCCUUUUACCUCUGCAAUCGGAGAGAUUGAGGUCUGCAGCGUAGAUCCUUCGGGGUUAGAUACAGUUUGUGCUAAGUUAUAGCUUUUCAUAGACAACUUGUUGACUAUGUUUAGUCUUGUAGCUUACUCGCUUAUGGCUAUUUUACCUACGCUUAGGAUGUUGAUAUGCAUGACUGAUAU